AUCACCAGUGAAAGGUUCAGGACAACAUUUUUUCAAAUUAUGUUUUCAAUAGUGGAAGGAGCAUGUGUAUGUUCCAGGGUAUAAAGGUUCUAUAUUUUUAUGUGAGUUAAUCAACUUUCAGAUCAGCAGUGACAAAUAUAGAGACGUCGCAAACGAGUUUCAGAGAACAAACAGGAAACUGUGCUGGUUACAGUACAUAUCUCUUUAACUGUGUGUUGAUAGCGGAGGACAGGAGGAAGAAACUUCGUGAAGACAAUAAAGGGUGGAAGCAAAUCGACAUUUUUCUUCUCUUGGCCACGGCAGGCCUGCAUGUAAACAUGUCAGAGAAAAUGUAUGACUGUGACUACUAUGAAGACAUCAGACAGAGGCGUUCAGAGAGGAAACUGUACCGACUGGUUGCCGUGAGUUUUGGAUUCCUGUGUGUCCUUCAAGCUGGCCUGAACGUUUCAUUGCGUCUUUAUCUGAAGAAUUGUGAAGACACCGACCAUAUUUUUAAAAAUAUGGCUGAAGAAAGAGACGAGUUAAGCAGAAAAUUGACUAUGUUUG